rnacentral:rRNA from 1 species
CGCGGCCUUUCAGCUUGUUGGUGAGGUAAUGGCUCACCAAGGCGACGACGGGUAGCCGGCCUGAGAGGGCGACCGGCCACACUGGGACUGAGACACGGCCCAGACUCCUACGGGAGGCAGCAGUGGGGAAUAUUGCACAAUGGGCGAAAGCCUGAUGCAGCGACGCCGCGUGAGGGAUGACGGCCUUCGGGUUGUAAACCUCUUUCAGCAGGGAAGAAGCGAAAGUGACGGUACCUGCAGAAGAAGCGCCGGCUAACUACGUGCCAGCAGCCGCGGUAAUACGUAGGGCGCGAGCGUUGUCCGGAAUUAUUGGGCGUAAAGAGCUCGUAGGCGGCUUGUCACGUCGGUUGUGAAAGCCCGGGGCUUAACCCCGGGUCUGCAGUCGAUACGGGCAGGCUAGAGUUCGGUAGGGGAGAUCGGAAUUCCUGGUGUAGCGGUGAAAUGCGCAGAUAUCAGGAGGAACACCGGUGGCGAAGGCGGAUCUCUGGGCCGAUACUGACGCUGAGGAGCGAAAGCGUGGGGAGCGAACAGGAUUAGAUACCCUGGUAGUCCACGCCGUAAACGGUGGGCACUAGGUGUGGGCGACAUUCCACGUCGUCCGUGCCGCAGCUAACGCAUUAAGUGCCCCGCCUGG